rnacentral:tRNA from 1 species
CGGGGCGUAGCUCAGCUUGGUAGAGCGCUGCGUUCGGGUCGCAGAGGCCGAAGGUUCGAAUCCUUUCGCCCCGA